rnacentral:rRNA from 1 species
GGCCUAACACAUGCAAGUCGAGCGGAACGACACUAACAAUCCUUCGGGUGCGUUAAUGGGCGUCGAGCGGCGGACGGGUGAGUAAUGCCUAGGAAAUUGCCUUGAUGUGGGGGAUAACCAUUGGAAACGAUGGCUAAUACCGCAUAAUGCCUACGGGCCAAAGAGGGGGACCUUCGGGCCUCUCGCGUCAAGAUAUGCCUAGGUGGGAUUAGCUAGUUGGUGAGGUAAUGGCUCACCAAGGCGACGAUCCCUAGCUGGUCUGAGAGGAUGAUCAGCCACACUGGAACUGAGACACGGUCCAGACUCCUACGGGAGGCAGCAGUGGGGAAUAUUGCACAAUGGGCGAAAGCCUGAUGCAGCCAUGCCGCGUGUAUGAAGAAGGCCUUCGGGUUGUAAAGUACUUUCAGUUGUGAGGAAGGGGGUAGCGUUAAUAGCGCUAUCUCUUGACGUUAGCAACAGAAGAAGCACCGGCUAACUCCGUGCCAGCAGCCGCGGUAAUACGGAGGGUGCGAGCGUUAAUCGGAAUUACUGGGCGUAAAGCGCAUGCAGGUGGUUCAUUAAGUCAGAUGUGAAAGCCCGGGGCUCAACCUCGGAACUGCAUUUGAAACUGGUGAACUAGAGUACUGUAGAGGGGGGUAGAAUUUCAGGUGUAGCGGUGAAAUGCGUAGAGAUCUGAAGGAAUACCAGUGGCGAAGGCGGCCCCCUGGACAGAUACUGACACUCAGAUGCGAAAGCGUGGGGAGCAAACAGGAU